AGGGCGUACGGAGGAUGCCUAGGCAUUAGAAGAUGAAGAAGGACGUGACAAACUACGAAAUGCUUCGGGGAGUUGUAAGUAAACUUUGAGCCGGAGAUAUCCGAAUGGGGGAACCCACUGGUGGUAAUGCAUCAGUAUCGUCUAAUGAAUACAUAGUUAGAAAGAAGAGUAACCCGGUGAACUGAAACAUCUUAGUAACCGGAGGAAAAGAAAGAAAAAUCGAUUUCCUAAGUAGUGGCGAGCGAAAAGGAAAGAGCCCAAACCAGUUUAAGGACUGGGGUUGUAGGAUUUAUCGAAUACGGAGGAGAAAGUUAUAAUAUAGAAGAAGUGCAUGGGAAGGCAUACCGAAGAAGGUGAGAGUCCUGUAAUCGAAAUAUUAUAAACUCUAGAUAAAAUUCCUGAGUACGGCGAGGCACGUGGAACCUUGUCGGAAGCAGCGGGGACCAUCCCGCAAGGCUAAAUACUCUCUAAUGACCGAUAGCGAACAAGUACCGUGAGGGAAAGGUGAAAAGAACCCCGGGAGGGGAGUGAAAUAGAAACUGAAACCGUAUGCUUACAAAAAGUUCGAGCCCGUUAAAGGGUGAGAGCGUGCCUUUUGCAGAAUGAACCGGCGAGUUAUUGUAUAAUGCGAGGUUAAGUCGAAGAGACGGAGCCGAAGCGAAAGCGAGUCUGAAUAGGGCGAGUAAAAGUAUUAUGCAAUAGACCCGAAACCGAGUGAUCUAUCCAUGAGCAGGAAGAAGUUGCAGUAAAAUGCAAUGGAAGACCGAACCGAUAUGCCCGGAAACGCGUACGGAUGACUUGUGGAUAGCGGAGAAAUUCCAAUCGAACUCGGAUAUAGCUGGUUCUCCCCGAAAUAGGUUUAGGCCUAGCCUUGAAUUAAGAGCCAUGGAGGUAGAGCACUGAAUGUGUGAUGGCGUCGUCUAGAUGUACUGAACACAAUCAAACUCCGAAUGCUAUGGUGUGAUAUUCAGGAGUCAGUGUAUGGGUGAUAACGUCCAUACGCGAAAGGAAAAGAAUCCAGAUCGCCAGCUAAGGUCCCAAAAUACGUGUUAAGUGGGAAAGGAUGUAGAGUUGUCAAAACAGCUAGGAGGUUGGCUUAGAAGCAGCCAUCCUUUAAAGAGUGCGUAAUAGCUCACUAGUCGAGUGACACUGCGCCGAAGAUGUACCGGGGCUAAACACGAUACCGAAGCUGCGGGUUCAUACAUAAAGUAUGAGCGGUAGGGGAGCGUUCUAAUUGCGGAGAAGGUAGAUCGAGAGGACUAUUGGAGCGAUUAGAAGUGAGAAUGCCGGUGUAAGUAACGAAAAAUGGGUGGAAAUCCCAUUCACCGUAUGACUAAGGGUUCCUGGGUAAAGUUCGUCUUCCCAGGGUAAGUCAGGGCCUAAGACGAGGCUGAAGAGCGUAGUCGAUGGACAACAGGUUUAAAUUCCUGUACCACCUAUAAAACUGAUGGAGUGACGGAGAAGGAUAGCAAGAGCCAGUUAAUGGAUUCUGGUCUAAGCGCAAAGAUAAGUACAUAGGCAAAUCCGUGAUACUAAACAUAUUGAAGCGUUAUGGUGAAGAGAGACCUUCGGGUCAAUCGAAAUCUUGUGACUCCAAGCUUCCAAGAAAAGCUUCUAGGGUUAAUUUUAUAGGUGCCUGUACCGGAAACCGACACAGGUGGUCGAGGAGAGAAUCCUAAGGUGAGCGAGAGAACUAUGGUUAAGGAACUCGGCAAAAUGACCCCGUAACUUAGGGAGAAGGGGUGGUCACGAAAGUGACUCGCAGUGAAUAGGCCCAGGCAACUGUUUACCAAAAACACAGGUCUCUGCAAACACGAAAGUGGAAGUAUAGGGGCUGACGCCUGCCCAGUGCUGGAAGGUUAAGGUGAGUUGUAAGAAAGACGAUACGUCGUAUUUUCGAAGCAAUGAAUUGAAGCCCCAGUGAACGGCGGCCGUAACUAUAACGGUCCUAAGGUAGCGAAAUUCCUUGUCAGGUAAGUUCUGACCCGCACGAAAGGCGUAAUGAUCUGGGUACUGUCUCAACCAUAGACUCGGUGAAAUCUUAAUACCUGUGAAAAUGCAGGUUACCCGCGACAGGACGGAAAGACCCCGUGGAGCUUUACUGUAGCUUGAUAUUGGGAUUUGGUAAGUUAUGUAGAGAAUAGGUGGGAGGCUAUGAGACUAAUACGCCAGUGUUAGAGGAGCCGACAAUGGAAUACCACCCUUAAGUUACUGAAUUUCUAACCUAGAACCGUGAAUCCGGUUCAGGGACAGUGUCUGGUGGGCAGUUUGACUGGGGCGGUCGCCUCCUAAAAAGUAACGGAGGCGUUCAAAGAUUCCCUCAGAAUGUAUGGAAAUCAUUCAAAGAGCGUAAAGGUAUAAAGGGAGUUUGACUGCGAGACCAACAAGUCGAGCAGGUGCGAAAGCAGGACUUAGUGAUCAGGCGAUUCAGUAUGGAAUGGUCGUCGCUUAACGGAUAAAAGUUACCCCGGGGAUAACAGGCUGAUACCACCCAAUAGUUCACAUAGACGGUGGUGUUUGGCACCUCGAUGUCGGCUCGUCGUAUCCUGGAGGUGGAGUUGCUUCCAAGGGUUGGGCUGUUCGCCCAUUAAAACGGCACGCGAGCUGGGUUCAGAACGUCGUGAGACAGUUCGGUCCCUAUCCGUCGUGGGCGUAGGAAAAUUGAAGAGAGCUAUCCUUAGUACGAGAGGACCGGGAUGGACACACCGCUGGUGUAUCUGUUGUUUCGCCAGAAGCAGUGCAGAGUAGCUAUGUGUGGAAGGGAUAAACGCUGAAAGCAUCUAAGCGUGAAGCCCCCUUUGAGAUGAGUUUUCCCACUUGU
rnacentral:rRNA from 1 species